AGGAACGAGGAGGUGCUGCUGUCGGUGGAAGCAGAGGCCGGGAGGAGCCCAGGGGCGGGGAGGCGUCCAUGUCCUCUGGGGGGUGGGGGGGUCAGAGGAGACCCUGGGGUCAGAGAAGACCCUGGGGAGGCCCGCUGGAAUCACCCAGAAGAAGAGGCCUCCCCCAGGGCCUUCAGUGACCGACCUCAGGGCCUCCGCGUGUCCUGGCCUUGGCUGAGGCCCGGCUUCCGCGCACUUGAAGACCAAGCUGCAUUUCUAGUCCCCAAGUCCCUGAAGAGAUGUGAGGACAACUGGUGCCGGCCUCCUGGGGAGUCAGACCGGGCUGCUGAGGGCUGGGCUCCAGGAAUAAACCACCCACACUGCGUACUCCUCAGCCAAGCUCCGUCAGCUGCUUGACGCAAAGGCGGUGCGCACGCACUGAGAGAAAACCAGAGAAUAGAAAAGCUGCGGAGCUGGAGGAAGAAGACUGCCAGGCGGUGCCAGCAGCACUUGGCUGAACAUCCUUCCAAAGCUCUUCUGGGAUUCGGGGCAGCUACAAAUGUGAACAGCCACCUGCCACACCUCAGGAUGGAGGCCGACAGGGUCCACGGAGGAGCUGCCCCGGAGACCACCUAGAGGGUGCCCGUAUCUCUGGUCCGAACACCCCCGAGCUUCCUUCAAGGGCUUCCAAGAAGGCAACCAGGAGAAGGUGUGUUCCCCACCCUCUUAGCAGCCAUCUCUGCCGAUGAGCAAGCUGGCAGCACGGGAACCGGACACUGGGAGACCAAAGUCGCAAGGGAGUGACUGAGGGGGACCCUGCUGGCCUGACAAUGCCCAGAGCAGCUUGGUGCAGCCGCCCGGUAGAGGGCUGGCUCCCUGGUGCUAGAGUCACACCGGCCUCGUUUCUCAAAACGCUCGCUCCACCUCGGAGUUCGGCCACCUCUCCCCCGCCUGCCCUCCGAGGUCGCCGGCCGCCUUCCCGGACCCCUGCCUGCAUCGCGCCCCCCCGGUCCCAGUGCCCGGGUGCUGGGUGGGGUACCUUAGCCUUUUCCUGCAGCGCCCGCGGCGCAGGGAGGUGGGACUGACCUCGGGCUGGAGCUGAGCAAGCAGCAUCAUCAGAGAGAAGGUCGCCAAGGGCCCGCUCUCGGUCCCCCAAGGAGCGGGGCCCGUGGGCGGCAGGGUGGAGUGAGGGAGCAGCUUGUGUAAAGAAAUCAUUGAGAAAUUUCUAGCGUAACUGGAGGGAAUUAUAAACGACAUCGACUUGGAGCGUAAACUUGCUGCCUAGUUACGAGCCACAGCAAAGGUCUCCAGGACGCGUCUUACAGAACAAACAGAAGACAAGGGCGGGAGCUUCCCGAGCGCAGGGAGGGGCGCUCUGGAUGCCCAGGGGGUGGCCCUUCUUCAUUCUAACGCCACACGGGCCCUGCUUUCACCUGGGCCAACCUGAGGGGUCCUGGGCAACUGGGGGUCCUGACCUGGGGUCGAGGCUAGUUAAAGCACCUGGCAUGCUGACUUGGUUGUGACCUUCUGCUCGUCACACGAGUGAAAUGCAGAUUCCUGAAGUCUGUGUGGCACAAAGCCCCUGGCCCUGGUGGAUCUCCUCUGGGAGCCACUGGGGCUCUGCCUCUGGGCCCUGAGCCUCGGGAACAAGCCCCACCCGGCCCCCAGCAGCACCUGGUCCUUCGCCACCACCUCCAGGGCAUGAGUGAGCUCCGGCCAGAGGGCCUCCCUCUGCACAGGAGUAUGUGCGGAGCCUGCUUGCCUGAGGAAGGGCGGUUGCAGGUGUUGGGGUGCAGCAGGUUUGGGGGGCCAGGCUCUGGUAAGAGUUCAGCCUCCCCUCGGACUGGGAAAAUGCCGAGACGUGCCAGCAGCGCUUUCCACGAGGUGGUGGCUGAAUCCAGGACCGGACCUGGAGACAGCUGACCCAGGGGUCCGGGCCCCUCUCUGGGCAGGGCAAUCGCAGGCACACCCUUAAUAGCCAGAAACACCCCCAGACGUUGGCGAAUGCCCGGGAGUAAACGCCUGCCAGGGCAGCCGCUCCAGCCCCAUGAGGGGGCUGGUCUUUUCUCAAGGGCUGCUUCCUUCCAGCCAGAGUGGAAAUUGAAUCAGGACCAGCUGAAAAACUUGCAGAACCCCAGUGGCAAAUCAAAACACGGGGCUCCUGGUUCGAAUAUGAUGUGAUGCCAGGUGUUGGGCCAGACGCGGGCCUGCUGGCCUUGGCCGCCUGCCCAUGAAGCUGGUUGGCGCUGAAUCAAAUACAAUGCCCCCGAAACAGUGAAUCACCAACAAGCUGCAGAAAUCUCUCAUAGCAAUGAUUUCAAUAGACUCUUUUAAACUUGGUGGCCCACGGGUGGCUGGUGUAGGGACCCCAGUCUGAGCUCCGCCCUGUGCCGAGUAGCUUCGCCUUUCCCAAAGCCUGGCCUCCACAGGACGAGAGAGACCCAAGGCAGCGGCGUGGCAGCAGGAUGGGCCUCUCUGGAAGCAGGUACCUUUUUAGGUGGUGUGUUCCUUGAAGGCAAGAAUGAUGUUUCACAAUAUACACCCAGUGCCUAUCACAGCUUCUUCUACUGUGGUUAAAACAAAAAAAAAAAAAAAGAGCGUUACCAUAAACCCUCCGGCCAUUUCUAAGCUGCUUCAGGAAUGUAAAUAACAUUCACCUUGUUACUGAAUCAUCUCCAGAUCUUUGCAACCUCACAAAACUGCAACUGUCCCGUUAAACAACCCCUGCCACCACCUAGCCCUCAGGCCCCAGCAAACACCCUGCGAAAGAAUCUAUGCCACUUACUAAUCCAGGUGCCUCAUAAGAGUGGAAUGACACAGUCCUUGGGGUUUUUUGUAAAUGUACAUUUUUGGGUAACUUUUACUUCGCUUAAUGGCCUCAAAAUCUCUCCACGUUGCAGCACAUCGCAGAAAUCCCCCCUUUUUAUUUGUCAUGGUCACUCCUAUUAUCUUUCUUCUAGUUUAUUGACAUACAGUGUUCGGUAGGCUUAAGGCGUGUGGCACAAGGAGGUGACCCGCCCGCCUCAUGAAAUGACCGUCACGGUAAGUUUACUGGCCACCCACGUGUCACACAGCUUCAAAGCCAAAGAGAAAGACCUUUGUGCCUGUGAUGAGAACUCUUUGGCGCCUCCGGCCGUGCUACUUCUAUCAGUGCCUGUGUGGUACGUCCUGUCACGAGCACUUACCCGUCUUAGAACUGGAAGUUUGUACCUUCAGAUGAACCGCACCCAACCCUCUCUCCCCUCACCCCUGGGGACCCACAAAUCCGAUCUCUUUUUUAGGCGUUCGUUCGUUUGCUUUUGAAGCCCUUCCUUGCUCCACCUCCAGAAUGAGUCCACUGCACAUACGCGCCGCCUUUUGCUUAUCCAUCCACUUGUCUCCGGACCCUGGAGGCGCUGCCAUGGUUCAGCCGUCACGUUGCUCUGAACAUGGGUGUACAACCAGUAGCUUUGACGCCGCCACCCCAUUUUCCACAGCAUCCGCACCGUCUUUCAGCUCGCCUACAGCGCACAGUCCGCCUCUCCAGCUCCUCAACGUUCUCACCAACACGUGCUGUUUUCUGCUGUUUUUAUAUUAACUAUCCUAAUAAGUGCAAGGUGAUCUUAUGGUGGAUUUGAUUUGCAUUUUCCUCAUGAUUAGUGAUAUUGAGCAUCUGGUUUUUUUGUUUGGUUUUGGUUUUUUCUGUUUGGUUUUAUUUUGCUUUUUAGGGCCACAGCCACGGCAUAUGGAGGUUCCUAGGCUAGGGGUCCAAUCGGAGCUGCAGCUGCAGGCCACAGCCACAGCCACAGCCACAGAACAUCAGAUCUGCCACCUACACCACAGCUCAUGGCCACGCUGGAUCCUUAACCCACUGAGUGAGGCCAGGGAUCGAACCCCCAACCUCCUGGUUCUUAGUCGGAUUCAUUUCUGCUGCACCACGAUGGGAACUGUGCUAUUGAGCAUCUGUUCAUGUGUCUGUUGGCCAU
rnacentral:lncRNA from 9 species